rnacentral:rRNA from 1 species
GACGAACGCUGGCGGCGUGCUUAACACAUGCAAGUCGAACGGAGCACCCCAGAAGGAGUUUUCGGACAACGGAUGGGAAUGCUUAGUGGCGGACUGGUGAGUAACGCGUGAGGAACCUGCCUUCCAGAGGGGGACAACAGUUGGAAACGACUGCUAAUACCGCAUGACGCAUUGGUGUCGCAUGGCACUGAUGUCAAAGAUUUAUCGCUGGAAGAUGGCCUCGCGUCUGAUUAGCUAGUUGGUGAGGUAACGGCCCACCAAGGCGACGAUCAGUAGCCGGACUGAGAGGUUGGCCGGCCACAUUGGGACUGAGAUACGGCCCAG